rnacentral:rRNA from 1 species
GGCCUGCCCACUGGGGAUUUAAAUGGCCGCGGUAUUUUGACCGUGCAAAGGUAGCAUAAUAAUUAGUUUUUUAAUUGAAAGCUGGAAUGAAAGGUUGGAUGAGAAAAUAACUGUCUCUAUUUAGAUUAAUUAGAAUUUUAUUUUUAAGUAAAAAAGCUUAAAUGAAAAUAGAAGACGAGAAGACCCUAUAGAGUUUUAAUUUAGUUGGGGUGAUUGAAAAAUUUAAUAAACUUUUUUUAUAUUUAUCCAUUGAUUUAUGAGUAGUUGAUCCUUUUUUAAAGAUUAAAAGAAAAAAUUACCUUAGGGAUAACAGCGUAAUUUUUUUAGAGAGUUCAAAUCGAAAAAAAAGAUUGCGACCUCGAUGUUGGAUUAAAAUUAAGUCUUGGUGUAGAAGCUAA